rnacentral:sRNA from 1 species
UAAAUACCAAAACAGGGGUUUUUAUCGCCACAGGUUUACAUUCAGGGAUCAUCUUCUGGAAAAAAUCGACAUUGUUGAUAGAAAAGCGUGAGAGUUUCUGUUGUUCAGGAUGAGAGCUAAGUGGAAGAAGAAGCGCAUGAGGAGGUUGAAGAGGAAGCGCCGAAAGAUGAGACAGAGAUCUAAGUAGGUGCUUGAGCAGGAGUCAGAUGAGCUUUCCUUCCUAUACCCCUAGUUCAUGGCAUUUUGGGUUUUUAUGGCUCGAAUGAUCUUGAGGUCUAGUUGGGAGGGGAGGCAUAUCUCACGACUCAGUUAGCAUUACUGCAUUAAGACUAUUGAGUGGGUUAAGUUGUUAUGAUGAGUGUUUUAUCGUAUCUAAUUAUGUACUGAUUUUGUAUACUUCUUGGUUUAUCCGAAUAGCUUAUAUACAUCGCAAGAGUUUCCUGAAAUUUGAUCAUUUAAUAGCGAUGUUAAAAUAGAGUUGGCUGUCCAGGCAACAUAAUUUACCUAUAAUUUUUAGCUUUUAUUUUAUUACCAGGUUUAUUUUUUUUUCUGGUUUAUAUUUUUAAAAGUAAGAAGUAGCUCUUUUUACAUGUAUUGAUGUAUUGCUAUUUUAUAUUUAUUUAUAUAUCGAAUUAUCGUAUUUAAAGUUAAAAUUAAUUUUAAUAAUAUGAUUUAAUUUUGGACUAAAAUGCCAAAAUUUUGCAGCUGG